UUGUAAAAAACGCAGGCCACAGAGAAUGGCACCACAGAGCAGAAGCAGAGGUGUUUGCUUCCAAUGAAAAGAAGUGCAGCAUUUUGAAACAGACAGCGCUGCUUCAGCUAAAAAAAAAAAAAAACCCUGCUAUUUUUGGGGGGAUACGUAGCAGGAAAAAAAAAUCAGUUCUACAGCCUUUAGUUGUGAUGCUCAGCAUGCCUCUUCUGCAGGCACUCUAAGCUGCUCACAGCUCCUCAGCCAUGUUGGUUGUCAGAAAAGCAUGUUUCAGAGCUAUGUGUUUUGACAGGUAUUGGCUGGGCUGACCACUGCUGGAGUGUUUAUAAUGGCAUAAUAUGCUAUGCUGCACCUUGAAGACAGUUUGUGGGACGUGCACAGUUCUAUCUACUAACAAAGGCUGCCAGGGAAUCCUGAAGGAACAGAGCAGAAUGCUUGCUCUCCCUCUUUUCCUGAUCUGCUGCUUGAAGCCUUUAAAAACUGUCUAAAGCCAGUCUUGCAUUAAUCCAUGAUUUUCCUGAGCUUGGAAUCAGAUAAUUUUGGAAGGCCAAUAGUAAAUUAUACCAACUA